UUCAGAGGGCGUAUUGCCUUUAGGAAUUACCCAAGUGAUCUAUGAUGUUUCUUAUUCUUCUUUCUGAUUGAAAUUAAUUGAGGCAAAUAUUUUUUUAAUUAAACGGUAGUAUAUAUUAAAUUACAUAUAAUAAUGGCGAUGGUGGUGAUAGAUAAUGUGUGAUUAAUAUAUAAUAUAAUAUAAUAUCGGGAUGCAUUGCUUUCAGAAAUCGCCUAAAAGCAGACUAUGACAAAACAGAGUGAAAACUAUGAACAACUUAGUUGUUUGUUUUAUAGAUUUUAAAAAUGGCUUGUCGUACAUAUUUAGAGUUGUAAAUAAUUUGAUAAAAAAUGUUCAAUCUGUAAAUAAUGGUAUAUUAUUGUUUAAUAUUGUUUAAUUUAUUGCUUGUCAGUCAUUCACAUUUAUUAAAAAUAGUCACUUUAUUAAAUAAUGUGAGAAACUAUGUUCUUUGCGAAUAGACCUGAAGAUGAAUUAUGACAGGGUGUGACAAGUAAGUAAUGCAGGAAGACGCAGAGGUAGAGCAAGAAGAGUAGUGAAAAGAGACCUAAAUAAGGAGCAAAUUAUUGGCUUGGAAAAAAUUCCGAUACAAUUUCCUGAUCUAAACACUCCUAUGUUUAGAGGAAAAGAAUUAAUUCAACAGCAAAAACUGUUUGUAAAUCUUGAAAGAAAGCAGAAACUUAUGGAAUUAUCACAAAGUCAGAUCAGACCAAUGCAAAUAAAAUUAUCGCCAUUGGAAUGUGGUUGGACGAGUGUUACAAUGGAUGGCAGAAGCAUUGAAUCAGAUCUUAUUGAAAAAGAUACAUUUGAAAGUUUUGAAACCUGGAUUUUGAGCAUCUCGAUUUUAUGCAAUAUAUAAUGGAUAAAAGAAUGGUGUUGAAAAAUAAAAAAUUGCUGCCAUUCUUUACUAAACUUCCGUCUUACAAAAGAAGAUUGGAAUGUUGGAUUUGAACGAACGACAAAACGAAAAUACGAUGAAACGAAAAUACAAUUGUCAGUGAAAUAUGGAAAACUGCAGUUUCUGAUAGAAAAAUAUCCAGAGGCACAAAUAUUUUAUAAACGAAAACUACACGAAGAUGAAACAAUAGAUUAAAGAAGCCGUAUAAUCAUUAUACUUUUAUGUAUAAACGUUUCACAAAAUCUUUAUAAAUG